rnacentral:rRNA from 1 species
GUGCCAGCGCCGCGGUAAUACCGGCAGCUCGAGUGAUGUCCAAUAUUAUUGGGCCUAAAGCGUCCGUAGCUGGCCGCGCAAGUCCGUCGGGAAAUCCACCUGCCCAACAGGUGGGCGUCCGGCGGAAACUGUGUGGCUUGGAACCGGAAGGCUCAGAGGGUACGUCCGGGGUAGGAGUGAAAUCCCAUAAUCCCGGACGGACUACCGAUGGCGAAAGCGCCUCGGGAAGACGGACCCGACAGUGAGGGACGAAAGCUGGGAUCUCGAACCGGAUUAGAUACCCGGGAGUCC